AGUGAACGCUGGCGGUAGGCCUAACACAUGCAAGUCGAACGGCAGCACAGAGGAGCUUGCUCCUUGGGUGGCGAGUGGCGGGCGGGUGAGGAAUACAUCGGAAUCUACUCUGUCGUGGGGGAUAACGUAGGGAAACUUACGCUAAUACCGCAUACGACCUACGGGUGAAAGCAGGGGAUCUUCGGACCUUGCGCGAUUGAAUGAGCCGAUGUCGGAUUAGCUAGUUGGCGGGGUAAAGGCCCACCAAGGCGACGAUCCGUAGCUGGUCUGAGGGGAUGAUCAGCCACACUGGAACUGAGACACGGUCCAGACUCCUACGGGAGGCAGCAGUGGGGAAUAUUGGACAAUGGGCGCAAGCCUGAUCCAGCCAUACCGCGUGGGUGAAGAAGGCCUUCGGGUUGUAAAGCCCUUUUGUUGGGAAAGAAAUCCAUCUGGUUAAUACCCGGGUGGGAUGACGGUACCCAAAGAAUAAGCACCGGCUAACUUCGUGCCAGCAGCCGCCGUAA
rnacentral:rRNA from 1 species